rnacentral:tRNA from 1 species
GCCUCCAUAGCUCAGUGGACAGAGCAACCGGCUUCUACCCGGUUGGCCGCGGGUUCGAAUCCUGCUGGGGGCA